rnacentral:misc_RNA from 1 species
GAAACCACCAAAAGGUGAACUCAGAACUGUGACUGUUGCUUUAGAUACGGCACAGUACCACAUGGAUGUCACUGAUAUAGCAGAGAACGGUGCAGAAGAUGUUUAUAGGACAUUUAAUGUACUGAUGAGGAGGAAACCUAAGGAAAACAACUUCAAAGCAAUUUUAGAAUCCAUAAGAGAUCUCAUGAAUGAAUACUGCAUUGUUCCUGACUGGUUGCACAACAUAUUUCUGGGCUAUGGGAAUCCUUCUGCAGCACAGUGGACCAAUAUGCCUGAUCUUCUCGAAACAGUAGAUUUCAAGGAUACUUUCCUUGAUGCAGACCAUUUAAAGGAGAGUUUUCCAGAUUAUCAGGUUUGUUUUGUAAAUGCAGACAGUACAGAAAACUUGAAUCUAAGACCUCCCUUCCGAAUUAGGCUUCCUAGAACACUGAAAGGCAACACUCAUGCACUCCCAGGAAAUAAGAAAUUAACUAUUGAUUCAAUGAAUGAUGUCGAUAUGGAGGAUGCUGGUGGUGAGAAAGAAAAACUUAUUGUUGAGGCAUACAUUCCUCCGGACCCAGGGCCGUAUCCCCAAGAUCAGCCAAAACAGAAUUCAGUCAGAUUUACACCUACACAGAUUGGAGCAAUCCUAUCUGGUAUCCAGCCAGGAUUAACUAUGGUGGUUGGACCACCUGGUACAGGAAAGACUGAUACAGCUGUGCAAAUUUUGAAUGUUCUUUAUCACAAUUGCCCUUCUCAAAGAACAUUAAUAAUCACCCAUUCAAAUCAGGCUUUAAAUGACCUUUUUGAGAAGAUAAUGCAGAGAGAUGUACCUGCACGCUAUCUUCUUCGACUGGGUCAAGGUGAACAAGAACUAGCAACCGAUCUGGAUUUCAGCAGGCAAGGUCGUGUUAAUGCAAUGCUCGUUCGACGGUUAGAACUACUUAAUGAAGUGGAGAGGCUUGCAAGAUCUCUCCAACUUCCUGAGGAUGUUGGUUAUACUUGUGAAACUGCUGGAUACUUUUGGUUGCUUCAUGUAUACUCCCGUUGGGAACAGUUCCUUGCUGCUUGUGAGGAUAACAAAGAUAAACCAACAUUUGUUCAGGACCGCUUCCCCUUUAAGGAAUUCUUUUCCAACACGCCUCAGCCAGUUCUCACAGGUCAGUCAUUUGAGAAAGACAUGCGGGCAGCUAUGGGGUGUUUUCGUCAUCUCAAGACUAUGUUCCAAGAACUAGAAGAGUGUAGAGCAUUUGAAUUGCUUAAAUUAACAGCUGAUCGAGCAAAUUAUCUUAUGACGAAGCAAGCCAAGAUAGUGGCAAUGACCUGCACUCAUGCAGCACUGAAAAGGAAGGACUUUCUUCAGUUAGGCUUCAAGUAUGACAACUUGUUGAUGGAAGAAAGUGCUCAAAUUUUGGAGAUUGAAACUUUUAUCCCAAUGUUGCUGCAGAGGCAGGAAGAUGGUUAUGCACGGCUAAAACGCUGCAUACUGAUUGGAGAUCAUCAUCAGGUACCUCCAAUUAUAAAGCUUGGCUAUGCUUGGCCUGGCUCUACCCUGGGCAUUGAGCUCAAUGUAAGGAAUACCCAGACGAACAAACCUGGUANNNNNNNAGCUCUGAUCCAUAUGGCUGUAUUUCUGAAAGGCCAUAUUCUUCACAACUGGGGGUAACUGAUGAUGAUCUCCAAUCAGUAUGCAGCGUUUUAGCCGUGCAUAACCAUCUUCCUGCCUCUGCAGCAACAUUGGGAUAAAAGUUUCAAUCUCCAAAAUUUGAGCACUUUCUUCCAUCAACAAGUUGUCAUACUUGAAGCCUAACUGAAGAAAGUCCUUCCUUUUCAGUGCUGCAUGAGUGCAGGUCAUUGCCACUAUCUUGGCUUGCUUCGUCAUAAGAUAAUUUGCUCGAUC